rnacentral:rRNA from 1 species
UACGUAGGGUGCAAGCGUUAAUCGGAAUUACUGGGCGUAAAGCGUGCGCAGGCGGUUGUGCAAGACCGAUGUGAAAUCCCCGGGCUUAACCUGGGAACUGCAUUGGUGACUGCACGGCUAGAGUGUGUCAGAGGGGGGUAGAAUUCCACGUGUAGCAGUGAAAUGCGUAGAGAUGCGGAGGAACACCGAUGGCGAAGGCAGCCCCCUGGGCUAACACUGACGCUCAGGCACGAAAGCGUGGGGAGCAAACAGG